UGGGGAAUUUUGGACAAUGGGGGAAACCCUGAUCCAGCCAUCCCGCGUGUGCGAUGAAGGCCUUCGGGUUGUAAAGCACUUUUGGCAGGAAAGAAACGUCGCGGGUUAAUACCCCGCGAAACUGACGGUACCUGCAGAAUAAGCACCGGCUAACUACGUGCCAGCAGCCGCGGUAAUACGUAGGGUGCAAGCGUUAAUCGGAAUUACUGGGCGUAAAGCGUGCGCAGGCGGUUCGGAAAGAAAGAUGUGAAAUCCCAGAGCUUAACUUUGGAACUGCAUUUUUAACUACCGGGCUAGAGUGUGUCAGAGGGAGGUGGAAUUCCGCGUGUAGCAGUGAAAUGCGUAGAUAUGCGGAGGAACACCGAUGGCGAAGGCAGCCUCCUGGGAUAACACUGACGCUCAUGCACGAAAGCGUGGGGAGCAAACAGGAUUAGAUACCCUGUAGUCCACGCCCUAAACGAUGUCAACUAGCUGUUGGGGCCUUCGGGCCUUGGUAGCGCAGCUAACGCGUGAAGUUGACCGCCUGGGGAGU
rnacentral:rRNA from 1 species